rnacentral:lncRNA from 1 species
ACCAGGUGAACCAAGCCAAUCAGUCCAACCCACUGGGCUCUGGACUGGGGUACCUAGAGCACAUCUGCCAGCUCAUAGAGAAGAUCGGUCAGCUACAGGAACACAACCUUCGACUACAGAAACAGAUCUGUGGCCUGCAGAAGGAAGGCAGAGUGAUCAAGGCUAAAGAGGACUUCUUCAUGCAGCACUGUAGCUGUGGAGCAGCCAGCUUGGCCUUCCAAGAGCUCAAGAGACACUUUCGCAGUGACCACUACAGCCUGACGGCAUCAAGCGGCACACCGUCUGACCUCAGCACAAUCCCUGAGGUCACGCGCAUCCCCCUCAGGGCAGCCAUGGGAGAUGGUGACAUGGGUUGCCAACCUGCUCUUCCUGUUUGGAGGAGGGGUCUGAAUCGAAGGAGCUACACAGAGGGAGAGACCAGGUACCUGAGUGACAGCGCUGAGGUCCUCUCCGCUCCUCACAGACGGUUGAGUGAGAACUAUACAUGGGGAAGAGUGAAGGAACUGGUGAAGAAGACCAAACUGAGGAACCAGAGCCGGCUGGGACUGUCUUCAGGCUCCCUGAAGAGAUCAUGUCCACAGCUUUACCGCCCAGAUGUGAUGCCAGCAGAACGGCCCAGGACAAACAGAAACUCCAUGAUCGCUCUGGGACAUCAGAAACUGGACUAUCUGUGGCCACAGUAGUAUAACUCAGACAUUGAGCAGAUGGCCUGCGAUGGGGCAGCUUUUCCAAAAAGCAAAGCACAAAGUGGUAGUUUUUGCCAUUUGCAGAUGGUUUUCCAGACUGAGGAACAAGAUGGGAGAGAAAUGCACAAGAAAACAAUGAAUGGGACUGGAGUAAUGAUAGAAAAAAGUUGGUAUACGUAAUACUAAGAGAGAUGCUUAUAUGUUGAUUAAAGUGUUAAGUUGACCUGUUGAUGGAGCUCGUUUGUGUAACAUGACAUUUCUGUAAAUGUCUUUAAUUCAGAUGAAGCACUCAUUAGAUUUGUCAGCUAAUGAGGUACUAUUAAAGAUGAUAUAAACGUGGAAAUGAUUUACAGAAUGUGAACAGAAGAGAAUUACAGAAAAUCCUUAUGUAUAGUCUAAUGUAAAUUUCUGCCAGGACAAUUUACCAGAU